UACGUAGGUGGCAAGCGUUGUCCGGAAUUAUUGGGCGUAAAGCGCGCGCAGGCGGUCCUUUAAGUCUGAUGUGAAAGCCCACGGCUCAACCGUGGAGGGUCAUUGGAAACUGGGGGACUUGAGUGCAGAAGAGGAAAGCGGAAUUCCACGUGUAGCGGUGAAAUGCGUAGAGAUGUGGAGGAACACCAGUGGCGAAGGCGGCUUGCUGGAUCGCAACUGACGCUGAGGGACGAAAGCUAGGGGAGCAAACAGG
rnacentral:rRNA from 1 species